UACCUCCUCUUCCUCAUUCUCCGACUGCCUGAACUUCAGCCGGAGGUUCUCCUCAAACUCCUCAUCCGUCCAGUAGAAGAGGACCUCUGCGCCCUCAGUGGCUACCAACACGCACUUCAUCUUCCAGGGAAAAGCGAGGGCAAAGGUCACAUCUGUGAGUUCAGCCUGGGAGAGGAACAUCUUUUACCUUGGCAAAGCGCGCAGCAGGGCUUCCGAGGAGCUAGUCUCUGACCAGUUCGGCAAACAACAGCACAGCAUCCUUCGGUCUGCAAAUGCUUAAGGCAGAGAAGGCAUGAAGGCAUACAGAGGGUCUGGUCUCCACUGCUGCCUGUUCCUGAGGGUGGACAACCUGGACAAGGGCUGAAAAGUCAGAGGUUCCCCCAUUUUAAGGACCACGAGCUCGGGAGUUCUUUAUGCGGAGCCAGCGUGGGUGACACAUUAGUUCCUACCUCCUCUGCAUCUGGACAAUUCUCAGAUUACAUUCGGGGUCAUUCAGGCACAGGUGUGGCCAGCAAUCCCACCCCGAGCAGCCCUAGGGAGCUGUGAGCAGUGAUGGGUUACCCCACAACUCAUCUCAGGCUGGCAGGAAGUAGUCCCAGUGAAAAGUGGCAUCCGAGGUUGGUUCUGGUUUGGGCUUUCCCAGGUCACAUUCAACUCGGAGCUUCAAACUCUCACUGGGAGACCAGGGACCCUGUUGCGCCUUCCUACCGGGUUACAGAGAGUUACCAGCCGGGUUGCAACCUCAGCCCACUAGGUUCAUCUUAAGGACAAGAACGGCAAGAAAAAUCUAAAGCAGAAGAGGAAGGUUCGGUCCUGGGAUUUUUGAAAGCAACGAAAACCCUGAGCCUGGCUUGGCCUUGAUGGCAACUUCCGGGAAACACAGC